AUCGAGUUGUCAGACUAAUGAGUUAAAUUUAGGGUUUAAUUAUGCUUAUGCACUUGAUU
rnacentral:tRNA from 1 species